GAUGAAGAACGUAGCGAAAUGCGAUAAGUAGUGUGAAUUGCAGAAUUCAGUGAAUCAUCGAAUCUUUGAACGCACAUUGCGCCCCUUGGUAUUCCAUGGGGCAUGCCUGUUCGAGCGUCAUUUGUACCUUCAAGCUCUGCUUGGUGUUGGGUGUUUGUCUCGCCUCUGCGUGUAGACUCGCCUCAAAACAAUUGGCAGCCGGCGUAUUGAUUUCGGAGCGCAGUACAUCUCGCGCUUUGCACUCAUAACGGCGACGUCCAAAAGUACAUUUUUACACUCUUGACCUCGGAUCAGGUAGGGAUACCCGCUGAACUUAAGCAUAUCAAUAAGCGGAGGA
rnacentral:misc_RNA from 1 species